CUCAAUUUGAUUACGGAUUAGUAAACGCGCCAUAAGAGAAAUGAUGGCCUUAGUCUCACAAUGGGCUAGUAAUAAUGUAAUUCAAAUUCGUCUUUUGGCAAGAAUCGAACUUAAGAUCUCCACUUACAAGUGGAGACAAAUACCACUAGACUAUAAUACUAAGUUAUGUAUUGAUGUUAAAUACUAGUAAACUCUAAUAACUUUGUUAGGGUUUUUUAUUUUUUAUUUUUUUAAGGAAACUACUUUGUUAGGGUAUUUUGUAAACAGCACCAGAACAAAAAAUAUGUCAUGUGGAAACGUGACUUCAACCAAUAACCACCACCAAUGGUCUAACGACGGCUUCAACGACUUGCAAGGUACCCAAAAACUUGUGCUAUUACUUUUUAAAUGGAUUGCAAAUUCAAAGUAUUUAGACUAAUAUUUCAUACAUUAACUUAUUAGGUCUAAGAGGUUUCUAAUUCGGGGGUUUUUUUUUUAUGAGCUAGUUUGGUAUUAUUAUGCUUUAAAAAAAAAGAAAAAAAAACUGCUUCUACUACUAUUUUUUGGGUAAAUUACAUAGUAGUUCCUUAGGUUUGAGAUCUAUUACAACCCCAUACAACAUCUUUAAAACAUUUCACUUUCAUACCUCACGUACUAUUUUAUUUCAAAAUAAUACCUCCAUUACAUUUCCAUCCAUUGAUCCGUUAAGUGCUGACAUGGCUACCACAUUUGUGCCACGUGACUACCAAAUGUGUGCCAUGUGGCAAAAAAAAAACCUGAAUUUAAAAAAAAAAAAAACUAAAACAAAAACUGAAACCCCCGCACCCAACGAACACACAAACCUUCCACCCCCCCCCCCCAACAACAAAACCAAACAGGGAUGGAGCCAUAAAUUUCUUCUAGUGGAGGCAACCGAAAACAACUAAGAAAACCUUAUUAUAGUAUGGUUAUACACAAUAUGAUAUUAAGAAUGGGUUCAAAUGAUGACGUAUCACAAUUCCAAUGUUACAAAAAUUUCAAUAUAGUAGUGGAAAGUGGAAAGUGUAAAAGUGAUGAGAAAAAUAUAAGGAAAACUAAUGAAAAAGGCUUGAAAACUUUGAGUUUUAAUGAUAAGGACAAAAUAAAGGGUAAAGUGAAUAGUACCAGGAUUGACUUUUUAGUGUAAAAAUGUGGUUUUUCGUUAAAGUGAACAGUACCGGGUGCUUUUCGUUAAAGUUCCCAAAAAUAUAACUACAUGACAGGCAGGAGGGGGUUUUUUCGGUUUGAAUGACAGAACAAGAGCACUAUUGCUCAUAUAAUAUUUGAAUGGAGUAUAAGUAGAAUGAAUGUAUGUUGAAUAUUAGAUACAUAUAUUUUCUUCAAAGAUAACCCGUGUAUAUUAUA
rnacentral:lncRNA from 1 species